GUGCGGGCCCUGUGCAACAAAGCACCGUGAACCAUGUCAGGCGGGGAACCGAGCAGCAUUAAGCGGAACGUUUCGUGUGCCGCAGCAAGCCUGCACACC
rnacentral:SRP_RNA from 1 species